UGCCAUGUGGGGUAGGGUCCAGCUUUGAGCACACUUCUGACUCCUCUUUCCCUUUUCCAGAGGAAAAUCACUCUGCUGUCCAUGCCCUGGAACAAUUGGCUCCCAAAAGCAAAGCUUGUCUGUGAUGGGAUGCCAGCUCAUGGUGGAAUUUUCGUAUUUUGAAAGUAAUGCCUGACUGCCCAGGGAGAUUUUAGAGGAAUUGCUGGCUACAUACAAAAAGGAAAAAAGUAUGAAUUACGUUUAAUUCUAUAAUAGGUUCCUGCGGUUGCUGUCUAUCUUAAAGGAAGGAUUACAAGAAGGAAAAGGUUUCAUUCUAUUCACCAAACAUC
rnacentral:lncRNA from 1 species